UGGACAUUUAUAUUGUCAAAUUCUUCAGCAAGUGAAGAUAAUGUCAUUUAUGAAUGUCCUGUAGUAGCUUUCUGUUCAUCCUUUUCGAGAAGAGAGGGUGGAUGGUACCUCUACUGACAUUC
rnacentral:snoRNA from 14 species